AAGAAGGCCUUCGGGUUGUAAAGCACUUUUGUCCGGAACGAAACGUCAGGGGCGAAUAUCCCCUGGUAAUGACGGUACCGGAAGAAUAAGCACCGGCUAACUACGUGC
rnacentral:rRNA from 1 species